CAGAGUUUACAAAGCUGUGUCAUCUCGAAAGAACAGAAGACAAGAAAUCAACAAUAAUGGCGGACUUGGACACGUCUGAGAAGGCAAAAUUAUUACAGCCUAACGAACCACCACCAUAUCAGGAUCCCUCUCAGUAUCCUAACACUGGAUAUCCUCCUCCAGGGAGCUAUCCCAACACUUCUGGCUAUCAGCAAUAUGGAGCUCCAGUCGGCCCAUACAGCCAAGGGCCUUAUCCUGGACAUCCUGCAGUCGCUGUACAGCCGACGAUUUAUGUGACUGCCACACCGCUAUUCAAUCCACUGCCAGAUUACCUGGGUUACUCCAUUUUUACCAUGCUGUGCUGUUGUUUACCUCUGGGAAUCGCUGCUCUUAUUUAUUCCUUCUCUACUCGGAAUGCCAACAUGUCCGGACACCGACAAGAAGCAGAGAACAGUUCCAGAAUGGCUCUUACCCUCAACAAUGUCGCUCUUGGUAUCGGCCUUACCCUCCUUGUCGUGUAUAUCAUCUGUGUCAUUGUUGUCAACGUCAAUCAUAAAUAAAAUAUUUCCAAAAUUAUGAGACACAUCAUGUUUGGACGAUGAAUACUACCACUAUACAAAUCUCUCUAAUGUAAUUUUUUAAAGCAAAUUUGUUAUUGUGGCUUAAACUCUGAUUAUAGUUAUGAAACUUUCUAAACUACAUUAGUGAAGUGUUUAAUAUGAUUUUAAAUGUUUGAUCUAUUUUAAAGCUUCUCAGCCAUGUCCUGGACCUCCAUAUUAUACGUUUUUAUUAACAAGCCUAUGAGUGUUAGAAAAGGGAAACAUACAAAAAGUAGUGAUGGGGUGAGUUAUACUCGGCAUUGAUCUACUGUAUUUGACAGGCUGAUCAUAAUAACUGACUUAAAAUGAACAUGUAUAUGCUUUAAAAUGGAAUUAUUAUAUUCUUUAAAUCAAUGGAAGUUGUGAUUAUUAAAGUAAAUGUAUUAUGCUGUUGUACAGCUUGCUUUUGACUAUAGGUUAAAUAAAAUGUUAAACCACUGAA